rnacentral:rRNA from 1 species
GACGUAGGGUCCGUGCGUUGUCCGGAUUUACUGGGCGUAAAGCGCGCGUAGGCGGCUCGUUAAGUGUGGAGUGAAAUCUCGGGGCUCACCCCCGAAACUGCUCUACAUACUGGCGAGCUGGAGGGACGAAGAGGCUUGUGGAAUUCCCGGUGUAGCGGUGAAAUGCGUUGAUAUCGGGAGGAACACCCAUGGCGAAGGCAGCAAGCUGGUCGUCACCUGACGCUGAGGCGCGAAAGCGUGGGUAGCAAACAGG